rnacentral:rRNA from 1 species
CUCUGUGACUCCUACGGGAGGCAGCAGUGGGGAAUCUUAGACAAUGGGCGCAAGCCUGAUCUAGCCAUGCCGCGUGAGUGAUGAAGGCCCUAGGGUCGUAAAGCUCUUUCGCCUGUGAAGAUAAUGACUGUAGCAGGUAAAGAAACCCCGGCUAACUCCGUGCCAGCAGCCGCGGUAAUACGGAGGGGGUUAGCGUUGUUCGGAAUUACUGGGCGUAAAGCGCGCGUAGGCGGAUUAGUCAGUCAGAGGUGAAAUCCCAGGGCUCAACCCUGGAACUGCCUUUGAUACUGCUAGUCUUGAGUUCGAGAGAGGUGAGUGGAAUUCCGAGUGUAGAGGUGAAAUUCGUAGAUAUUCGGAGGAACACCAGUGGCGAAGGCGGCUCACUGGCUCGAUACUGACGCUGAGGUGCGAAAGUGUGGGGAGCAAACAGGAUUAGAUACCCUGGUAG